GUUCUGCACGACGAAUCUUGUAUUCGAAUGCAGACCGCACCUCCGAGAGGGGAAGACACCAAAGCCUGAGGUGAGGCGAGAGGCUGAUGGACAGAAGCCGUGGGCGUGGAGGCGAUCCCCACAGCAGCGGCGGCGGCAGCAGCAACACCGCCGCCGUUCAAGCCACCAACGAUGACGCUGCCGCCAGUAAGCUGUCUUGUGUAAAAAAAGGAUAUAUGAAGGAUGAAUAUGUCCAGCUAUUUGUUAGAAGACCUGUAAGGAGAGCACCCAUAAUCAAUCGUGGAUACUAUGCUCGUUGGGCUGCUCUUCGAAAGCUUCUUCUUCAGUUUCUCAAAUCUGAGAGAAAGACGGAUGACAAAAAUCAGACAAAGAAACAGAUACUUUCUCUCGGGGCUGGCUUUGAUACAACCUAUUUCCAGUUGCUAGAUGAAGGGAUUGCACCAUAUCUGUAUGUUGAGCUGGAUUUUAAGGAGGUCACCAGUAAGAAGGCAGCUAUCAUAAAUCAUUACAGUCAACUAAGGGACAAGAUUGGGCCUGAAGCUUCUAUUUAUAUAGAAAGAGGUGAGGUUCUUGGCAACCAUUACAAGCUACUUCCCGCUGAUAUACGAAAUAUCCAAACUCUAGAUGAUGUGAUGCACCGAGCCCAAUUGGAUCCUAGCCUGCCAACAUUUAUAAUUGCAGAGUGUGUCUUGAUAUACCUGGAUCCAGAUUCAACAUGUGGUAUCGUCAGAUGGGCUUCGAAAACAUUCCCAACUGCAGUAUUUUUUUUAUAUGAACAGAUCCAUCCUGAUGAUGCUUUUGGAGAACAAAUGAUCAAAAACCUUGAGAGUCGAGGCUGCCCUCUUUUGGGAAUAAAUGCUACACCCAAGUUGCAAUCAAAGGAAAAACUCUUUAUGGAUCAUGGAUGGAAGAGAGCUGUUGCAUGGGACAUGCUUAGGAUAUAUAAUGAAUUUAUUGACAUCCAAGAAAGACGCAGGAUUGAACGGCUUGAGUUAUUUGAUGAAUUUGAAGAAUGGUACAUGAUGCAGGAGCACUAUUGUGUGGCCUUUGCAGUCAAUGAUGCAGAGCUAAAUUUGAACUUUGUGAGUGGUCGAUGCGCAGGACAUGUUCCAGGGUUUUGGAUUCUCUGAGGACCAACAUGGUGACAACCAAUCUCAAGAACCACAUCCUGAAGUGAGCAAGGAUUCACCAUGAGUUUGUAUGAGCAUGAAACUGUUACAUGCAGAUUGAUAAAAUGGAGAACCAACUCAAUGAUGUGGUCAGGUUCAUUCUCUUUAGAGCUACUAUUCCACUUGCAUUGCCUUGAAUACCACUCCUCAUUGGCCCAUCAGAUUGAUGUUGAAUUGGAUGAGUUGUUAUGAUGGAUCCUCAUCUGGCCCAUCAGAUUGAUGUUGAAUUGGAUGAGUUGUUAUGAUGGAUCCUCAUCUGGCCAUGCAAAAAGAAUCUUGGAGAUGAACAUGAGAUAAAUGGAGACGAUUAUGAGAAGUUUUGACUUUUGUAUACUUCAUCGGUAACAAUACAUGCAAGAGAGAACUAAAAAUGUUACGCAUCUCUUGUUACUAUUAUUACUAAAAUUGUCUUUUAAACCA